UACAGAGGUCUCAAGCGUUGUUCGGAUUCAUUGGGCGUAAAGGGUGCGUAGGUGGCGCGCUAAGUCAGGUGUGAAAUUUCGGAGCUUAACUCCGAAACUGCAUUUGAUACUGGUGUGCUUGAGGACUGGAGAGGAGACUGGAAUUCAUGGUGUAACAGUGAAAUGCGUAGAGAUCAUGAGGAAGACCAGUGGCGAAGGCGGGUCUCUGGACUGGCAUUGACGCUGAGGUGCGAAAGCGUGGGGAGCAAACAGG
rnacentral:rRNA from 1 species